UACAGAGGUCUCAAGCGUUGUUCGGAUUCAUUGGGCUUAAAGGGUGCGUAGGCGGCGCAGUAAGUUGGGUGUGAAAUCCCUCGGCUUAACCGAGGAAUUGCGCCCAAAACUACUGUGCUCGAGGGAGAUAGAGGUGAGCGGAACUUAGGGUGGAGCGGUGAAAUGCGUUGAUAUCCUAAGGAACACCGGUGGCGAAAGCGGCUCACUGGAUCUCUUCUGACGCUGAGGCACGAAAGCUAGGGUAGCAAACGGG
rnacentral:rRNA from 1 species